UGGGGAAUAUUGGACAAUGGGGGGAACCCUGAUCCAGCCAUGCCGCGUGUGUGAAGAAGGCCUUAUGGUUGUAAAGCACUUUAAGCGAGGAGGAGGGUACUGGUAUUAAUACUACCAGGUACUGGACGUUACUCGCAGAAUAAGCACCGGCUAACUCUGUGCCAGCAGCCGCGGUAAUACAGAGGGUGAAAGCGUUAAUCGGAAUUACUGGGCGUAAAGCGCGCGUAGGUGGUUCGUUAAGUUGAAUGUGAAAGCCCCGGGCUCAACCUUGGAACUGCAUCCAAAACAGGCGAGCUAGAGUAGGGCAGCGGGUGGUGGAAUUUCCUGUGUAGCGGUGAAAUGCGUAGAUAUAGGAAGGAACACCAGUGGCGAAGGCGACCACCUGGGCUCAUACUGACACUGAGGUGCGAAAGCGUGGGGAGCAAACAGG
rnacentral:rRNA from 1 species